rnacentral:rRNA from 1 species
UACAGAGGUCUCAAGCGUUUGUCCGGAAUCAUUGGGCGUAAAGAGCGUGUAGGCGGCCCGAUAAGUCCGCCGUGAAAGUCCAGGGCUCAACCCUGGAAUGCCGGUGGAAACUGUCGGGCUGGAGUCCGGAAGAGGCGAGUGGAAUUCCUGGUGUAGCGGUGAAAUGCGCAGAUAUCAGGAGGAACACCAGUGGCGAAGGCAGGCUCGUGG